AUUGAACGCUGGCGGCAGGCCUAACACAUGCAAGUCGAACGAGUGGCGAACGGGUGAGUAAUGCCUCGGAACGUACCCAAUGAUGGGGGAUAACUACUGGAAACGGUAGCUAAUACCGCAUACUAUCGGAUGAGCCCAGAUGGGAUUAGCUAGUAGGUGGGGUAAAGGCUCACCUAGGCGACGAUCCCUAACUGGUCUGAGAGGAUGACCAGCCACACUGGAACUGAGACACGGACCAGACUCCUACGGGAGGCAGCAGUGGGGAAUAUUGCACAAUGGGCGCAAGCCUGAUGCAGCCAUGCCGCGUGUAUGAAGAAGGUCUUCGGGUUGUAAAGCACUGUAAGCUAGGAGGCGUUACCCACAGAAGAAGCACCGGCUAACUCCGUGCCAGCAGCCGCGGUAAUUC
rnacentral:rRNA from 1 species